ACAAGGUAAAAGGGAGUUGGCUCGAGGAAGUAUCUCGGGCAACAAACUACUCGCAAAAGGGGCAUACUCCGUUAUAUGUUUUCCAUGGUGGUAACAAUGAUAUGGAGAGAAAGAAACCUAAUGCGAUUUCAGGGUGGCCAGUUCUAGAUUGAUAGAUUGACUCGAGAAAUAGAAAUUCACAUACAAAAGAGGGGGAAGAAUGAAGUGCUUUCCGUAGCUGAAUCAUAUGCCAUGAUGUUUUGCACAGUAGUAGUUAAUUGGUGUUUCUUUACUUAACUGCAUUAGCAAUAGUUUGAUUGUUUAUUUUGAGUUGUUAAUAUAGGUUGUAGAGAUAGCGAGAAACAGGUGUCCGGCUUUUUUAACUUUGUACCGUUUCACUUUUGGUAAUAGUAAAAUUUAUUUAUUUUUAAAAAAGGUUUGGUACUUCACUGCAACCAAAGAACCGUGAUCCUUACACCAAAGAGUCUGUGAAGGAGUUAAGUAAAUGUGUAGAUGUAUCUUGAAUUUAUACCCAAAUAAUUUAAUUAUUUUACCCAUGUGAUUAGUGUGUGAUUAGUGGUUAGUUAGUUACGUUUAGUGGUUAGAUGGUUACAUUCUGUUACAGUUAGUAAAGCACAUGAGCUAUCAUUUUGUACAUAUAGUCACAAGGUGCAACUUACCAACUAAUAAAAAGAAAGAUAUUUUUUCCCCUCAUAUGUUUGCAGUUUUCUUCCCUCCAAUCUGGAGAUUUCUCACAAACUUAACAUGGUAUCAAAGCUGUUUAAUUGAUGAUUUUGCACAUAAAUCUUCACACACAGUGAAGGAAUUGAGAUUUCUCAGUGUGAAUUUUGCAAUUUACGGUGCCUUUUUGUUUUCUUUUGUGCUUCUAUGUCUUUGCUUUCCCUAUGAUUUCGUUAAAAAUUUGCAUUGUAAGCUCAAGGAUUUGUGGAGCUUCAACCUACACUAGCAAUUUGAGGACUCUUUUUCACUCAAUUUGAAGGAUCAACAAUUUUCUUCUUCUACCUGAAAUGACAGCUACUGGAAAUGGAGUUGAGACCACCACAAGUGCCACCACUGUUAUUGAUCAUCAUCAUCCUUUGUACUUGCAUCCUUCAGAUGCACCAGGUUCUCUUUCUGUUGGAAUUAUGCUUACAGGUACUGAUAACUAUACCUUAUGGAGUCGAGCAAUGCAAUUGGCUCUUUUAGGUAAAAAUAAACUGGGUUUUGUCAAUGGAACAGUAAAGCGAGACCAUUAUACUGGUGAUUUAGCACAUUUAUGGGAUCGAUGUAUUGUUUCAUGGAUUAUGUGUAGUGUUAGUAAGGAUUUGGUGGGUGGAAUACUGUUUUGUUCUAAUUCUCAUCUCAUAUGGGAGGAUUUAAAAGAGAGAUUUAACAAAGUCAAUAGUUAUAGGACCUACCAAUUGCAUAAGGAGAUUUUCACUUUGGUUCAAGGUGUAUCCUCUGUUUCAGUAUACUAUUCUAAACUCAAGGAUCUGUGGGAUGAAUAUGACUCUAUCAUGCCUCCACCUUUAUGUAACUGUCCUAAGUCUAGAGAGUUCAUGGACCAUUUGCAGUAUCAACGUUUGUUACAAUUCCUUAUGGGUUUAAGUGAUCAACACAGUCAGGCUAGGAGCCAAAUUUUGUUGAUGCCACAAGUCCCCAAUAUUAAUCAAGCAUAUACCAUGAUUAAUCAGGAUGAGAGUCAUAAGAUUGUGGCUAGUAAAAGUAGAAUGUUACAGGAGAAUCUUAUCCCUACAGCCAUGUUUACCUCUACCAGAUCCAAAGGAAACUCACUCAAUUAAAAAAAACCUUACCUCCCUAAUGUAUUUUGUGACUACUGUCACAUGAAAGGGCAUCUCAAAGCUGAUUAUUUCAAAUUGAUGAAUUGUGAUCAUUGUCACAAGAAUGGACAUAUUAUAGAUAAUUAAUUUACUUUACAUAGUUAUCCAUCAAAUUUUAAAGGUAAAAAGGGGAAGAUUGUUGCUGAUAAUACUGUCUAUGAACAUGGUCAUGUUCAGUAGCAGGGCUCUGUGCAACAAUACUACAAUCAGGUCUCUCAAGAUCAUGUUCCUCAGACAUCUUUUCAUCAUGGAAUGCAACACUUACAGGAGAAACAUCUUAUGCCAACGUUCACACUUAAUCAACAUCAGCAACUUCUCAAGAUACUUGACAAAUCCAUUGCUGAAGAAUCUAAUGUCAGUGCCAAUCUGGCAGGUAACUGUUUCUUUGCUAGCAAAGAUUCUGUUGUGAAUUGGAUUGUAGAUACAGGGGCAACACAUCACACGAUAGGUAAUCCUGAUCUUUUACAAAGUGAAGGUUUAGUAGAAAAUGUAGGUCAAGUUCAAUUACCUACUGGGGAUUCUACCAAAUUAUCACAUAUUAGCAAUUGUCAUGUCGGAGGAGGCGAUGUUCUUAGACAAGUUCUAUGUGUUCCGACAUUCAAGUUUAACCUUAUGUCAGUUUCACAAGUGACUAAGGACUUAAACUAUUGUGUCACAUUUUAUCCUAAAUAUUGUGUGUUUCAGGAUCUCUCAUCUGGGAAGGUGAGGGUGAUUGGUAAAAAAGCAAAAGGCCUGUACAUACUGAACACUCCAAUAAAAGAGAAGCAUGCCAAGUCACACAAUUGUUUAGUAGCUAUACAUAAGACUGAUGCAGUUACUUGGCAUAAAAGAUUCUGUCAUGUUCCUAUGAGUGUGUUGAGAAAAAUUUCUACUUUCAAUACUCUUAGUUUGAAUAAUUGUGAGAUAUGCCCCCUUGCUAGACAAACGAGACUUCCUUUCUCACACAGUACUAGCAGUUCUUCUCAUCCAUUUCAGUUACUCCACCUAGAUAUAUGGGGACCUUAUAAGAUGGAAACUUUUGAUGGAAUGAGAUAUUUUUUUACUGUGGUUGAUGACUAUUCUAGAUGGACUUGGAUUUUUUUUAAUGAGUCUUAAAUCUAAUGUAAUUACAUUGUUGAAAUAUUUCCUUGUUGAAGUAGAAACACAUUUGGUAAGAAAGUACAAAAAGUCAGAUCAGACAACGGAACUGAAUUUUUUAAUUCUAAUUGCAAAGACCUUUUCUAGAAUCAUGGUAUUGUACAUGAGAGUUCUUGUCCAUACACACCACAACAGAAUGGUGUGGUGGAAAGAAAACAUCGACACAUACUUGAAAUUGCAAGGGCAAUUAAAUUUCAAGGAUGUUUUCCUGAUAAGUUGUGGGGCUUGUGCAUUCUGGGUGCAGUUUACAUUCUAAACAGAAUACCUUCUACUGUGUUGGCUAAUAAAUCCCUUUUUGAAAGGUUGUACGGUACCUCACCAUCCCUGAACCACCUGAGAGUGUUAGGUUGUUUAUGUUUUGCAACCAACCUCACCUGGAAGGACAAGUUCAGUCCUAGAGCUGUUCGAGCAGUUCUUGUGGGAUAUAGUGCUUAUCAAAAGGGAUACAGGUUGUAUGAUUUGGAAAAUAGGACUUUCUUCACUAGUAGAGAUGUUGUCUUUAUGGAACAUAUAUUUCCUUUUAAAGGCUUUGAUUCUGAGAGUGCAAGUACUCACAUGCCAAUACAUCAUUUUCAUUAUAAUGAUCUUGUGGCUGCUCCAACCUUGACAGUUUCCACUCCACCUUGUGUUCCUACCAAUCCUGGUGCUACUACUACAGAACAAAUAUAAAUACCUACAAUAUUGGAUAUAUCUUCACUUUCUGCUAAAUCCAUGAGCAUCCCUGAUAUUUCUACUUCCUCUCAGCCUACUCAAAGGUCAGCUAGAGAAUCUAGACCUCCUAUAUGGCAUAAAGACUAUGUCACUCAUCCUUUAUAUAAUAGAUGUCUAUACUCCAUCAGCACUGUCAUGAACUACAGUGGUUUAUCACCUACAUAUCAAAGCUUUCUAUCUAAAUUUUCUACUGAGGUUGAGCCUAGUUGUUAUGCAGAGGCAGCUAAUAAUCCUAGAUGGGUGCAAUCCAUGCAGUUAGAAAUCUAAGCAUUGGAGGAUAACAAGACCUGGGAGUUGGUGGACUUACCUGCAGGUAUAAAGGGUAUAGGUUAUAGGUGGUUUGUUCAAGAUCAAAUACCAAGAUGAUGGUAAAGUGGAAAGGCUAAGGCUAGAUUGGUAGCCAAAGGAUACAAUCAGAAGGAAGGUCUUGAUUAUCAAGAGACAUUUUCUCCUGUAGUUAAAAUGGAAACUAUAUGAACUGUCAUAUCUAUUAUAGCUGCACAACAAUGGUCAAUUCAUCAAAUGGACGUAUAUAAUGCAUUUCUAUAGGUUGAUCUCUAUGAAGAUGUUUAUAUGCAUCUACCAGAUGGUUUCAGUACUAGUGAAACCAAGAAACAAGUUUGCAGACUCUUGAAAUCGUUGUAUGGUUUAAAACAGGCUUCAAGACAAUGGAACAUUAAACUUACCACUGUUUUACUCUCUUCAGGUUUUUUCCAAAGUACUAGAGACUACUCUUUGUUUACUAGAAGAAAUGGUGAUAAGAUAGUGGUUGUCUUAAUAUAUGUUGAUGAUUUGUUGAUAACUGGGAAUGAUCCACUCAUAGUUCAGGAGACCAAAUAUACUUUUGCAGACUUUUUUUAAAAUCAAAGAUCUUAGAGAGCUUAGGUAUUUCCUUGGUUUGGAAUUUGCCAGGAACGCGGAUGGCAUCCUCAUUCACCAAAGGAAGUAUGCUCUUGAGCUUAUUGCAGAUAUGGGGUUAUUGGGUGCUAAUCCUAUUUUUACACCCAUGGAAUUGAACAAAAAGUUCAAUACUACUGAAUUUGAUCAAUACAUGCCAUCCACACAGGUUGAUCCUCCACUCACAGAACUAUGUGUGUUUCAACGACUUAUUGGAAGGUUGUUGUAUCUCACUACUACUAGACCAGACAUUACAUUUGGUGUCUAGUGCUUGAGUUAGUUUAUGCAUUCUCCUAAGCAAUCACACAUGGAGGAUACUUUAAGACUAGUUAGAUAUGUCAAGAAGGAACCAGGUUUAGGUAUAUUCAUGUCCUCAGCAGGAGGGUCUACUCUUAAUAUUUUUUGUGAUGCUAAUUGGGGAGCAUGUAUCAAUAGCAGGAAGUCUAUAACUGGUUACUUGAUUCAAUAUGGUUCAUAUCCAAUAUCUUGAAGGUCUAAGAAGCAGACGACAGUCUCUAGGAGUUCUGCUGAGGCUAAAUAUAAAGCAAUAGCCUCUACAACUGCUGAAUUAGUGUGGCUCACAGGUUUAUUUUAGGAUCUUGGUGUGGAUCUUACUCUUCCUCUCCCUCUUUAUUCUGAUAGUACAUCAGUAAUACAAAUUGCUGCUAAUCUUGUUUUCCAUGAAAGGACCAAACACAUAGACAUCGAUUGUCAUUUUAUACGAGAGAAGAUACAGGCUGGUCUACUUACUGCUCAACAUUUAUGCACUGCUGAUCAGCCUGCUGAUUUGUUUACCAAGGCUCUUGGGCAAGGUCCUCACUCACAUCUUUUGUCCAAUCUAGGCAUGAAGAACAUCUUCAUUGCUCCUAGCUUAAGGAGGGGUGAAGGAGUGAGCUUUGUAAUAUUACAGCAGAUGGGAUUAUCCCCUAUAUGAACCCCAUGUGAUUUAUUAUAUAAUAUUCUCAAGUGCUGCAGCCUGAAGGUUGUGGAUUUAGAGCUUUUCUACCAACACCCAGCUUACUUUCACUGUGUGGCUUUGAGGAUUACCUCUUCUGCAAUUAAUUGACAAGGAAGUCUCAGAAAAGAUUGAAAAACCUGUAUACUACUGGAUGAGUGAUAUUGCACGGGGCCUUUAAAUUCUGUUACCCUUACAUGAUUCUAGGAGCAUCAUUAACUUUAAGAAUGUCUCGAUUCUCAAUUUGUAUUUGUUGAGUAAUUAGGUCUAUUGCCUGUGAUGUCAUUUGUUUUUCACGUUCAGACUUUUUAUCAUCUUUUUGUCUCUCUACCAAAUUAUCAAAACUUCUCUCACUUUUUCUUUA